GUGGCUGUAGCUCAGUUGGCAGAGUACUUGAUUGUGGCUCAAGUUGUCGUGGGUUCAAGUCCCAUCAGCCACCCCA
rnacentral:tRNA from 1 species